rnacentral:misc_RNA from 1 species
ACUCCCAAUCUCUCUUUUGAAUGUUAUAAAGAAGAAGAAUGAGGAGAAAGGUUUGGAAACCAUUAAUGAUAUUGAUGUGAGAUGGAGGCUUCUUAGUGGAAAAAUUGUUUCUCCUGAAACUAAAGUGUUACUUUCACAAGCUCUUACUAUCUUCCAAGAAUGUUUUGAUCCCAUAGUCGAUACAACUGGACGUGACCUCAUUCCUUUGAUGGUUUAUGGGAUCAAAACAUUCUUGGAAGAUAG